GAUUUUAAUAAGGAUAAAUCUAGCUGCAUUUUUUUCUCAUAACGUUCCCGCAAGGACAAAAGCCUUGAUUAAGAGAUGUUUGGGAAUGAAAGAGUUUGACAAAAGAACAAAGCAUCUAGGUUUGUCGAUGGUGGUGGAGAGGAAUAAGUCUCUAGUUUUUUAGGACCUUAAGGACAAGGUGGAAAGCAAGUUUAAAGGUUGGAAGGCUAAAUUGUUAUCUCAAGCUGGUAGAGCGACUCUAGUGAAACACGUUGCCACGUCGAUUCCGGUCUAUACCAUGUCUUCGAUCCUUCUCCCUAAAGGGUUGUGUGAGAGCUUAGAUAAGAUGGCUAGGGGUUUCUUAUGGAAUAACAACCAGAGAGAUUCUAGAGGUUUUUAUCCAAUCGCUUGGAAUCGUACCUGCCAACCGAAAUUUAAUGGAGGUUUGGGCAUUAGAAAGCACUGGUCUUUCAAUGGAGCCUUGAUCGCCAAAUUAGGUUGGAACCUCGCCACCAAGGAUAAUUUACUUUGGGUGAAGGCUUUUAAAGCAAAAUAUUUUCCUCAUUCUUCUUUCAUGAAUUGAAAAAAGAAAAAAGAUUGUUCCUAGUUCUGGAGUGGAAUCAUGAAGACUAAACCUUUACUUGCUAAAGGUCUAUGUUUUAGAGUGGGCAGAGGAGAUUCUGUAAAUAUUUGGGAGGACCCUUGGGUUCCUAAUCUCCCGAACUUCCUUUCGAAACCAAGAAUUACUUCUGAGUCCACUAUAGGAAUGGUUAGCUCGUUAAAAUUAAGCAACGAUCAGUGGAACCAUGAUUGGCCGGAGAGUCUCUUCGAGUAUGAGUCGGCCAAGUGCAUAAAGGAAAAUUUCUGGGCUAAUAAUGAUCAAGCUGACAAAAUCAUCUGGAUAGGGAUCAAAUCUGGAUCUUUCAAAGUUAAAUUGGCUUAUAAUAUGGAUGUUGAAGGUGAGGUUAGAAAUGAGCAGUGGUGGAAAUUCUUGUGGGAAAGCAGGAUCCAUAAAAGAACCAAGUUUUUCCUUUGGAAUCUGGCCAAUGUAGGGCUUCCUCUAUUCUCUAAUCUGAUUUUUAGAGGUUUAUCUUUGGACAAUGUGGAAUGUCCUCACGGUUGCCAGGCGGUGGAAACGGAACUCCAUCUCUUCUUCCACUGCAAAAUUGCCAAGAGAUUAUGGUUUGUGAGCCCGUGGGGUAUUAGGUGGAAGAGUUUCGAUAACCAUGAUAUUUUUACCCUCCUUAAGUGCAUUUCCAACCUGGAGGCUUCCCUUCCAGUUCAUCAGGAGGACAAGGCAAAUUUCUUCAUGUUUAGUGCUCUCACCCUGGAACAUAUCUGGUGGAUUCACAACAAAGUCAUCCAUGGUGGCCGAGCGGAGGGUUUUGAGCUUGCUCCUGAAGUUGUGAUGAAAAGAUUCAAGGAGCUUAAGAAUGCCAUCAGACAUGAUGUUUCAGAUAGGCAUCCCCAGACAAUAGACAUUAAUCGUUUUCUGUCUGGCUGGAGAAAACCACCUGAGGGUGUUAUCAAGCUUAAUUCAGAUGCUGCUGUUAGAACCUCAGGUAGUCAUCUGGCGGUGAUAGCCAGAACUAGCAGAGGUAAAGUUCUUCAUAUCCAAGCUUUUAAAUCGAAUGUGAAUGUCCUAGAAAUCACAUAGCUAAAAGCUAUUUUGAAAGCCAUUCAAGUGGCGAAAUUCUUCAAUUGGAGCAACAUUUAGUUCGAAUUCGAUGCGUUAAAUGUGAUCAAAGCUCUUCAUAAUGACGAUUUUAGUAAUCUUCACUGGGCGACCGAACCCUUUUUCAAUUCCAUUUCUUUGAUUUUGGACAAUUUCAGUUCUGUUUCUUUUUGCUGGGCCCCUAAGAAAGCUAAUGCUUUGGCCCAUUUUGUUAGCCAUUGGGCUGAGAGCCGAAAUAUAUAUGGCCCAUUGACCUAGAUUGGCUCCCGCAAAAUUGGUUCCGUUAUAUAGUUCGGGAAAGCGCUCUUAAGGACACUCCCCGAAACUAGGUUUUUGCUUCUGCCAUCUUUUGGUUUCUAAUGAAACUCCGUUCUCAGCCCCAAACAAAUUAAAAAAAAUGGUUAGAUACGGUCUCAACUUUGUAUAAAUAGUAUUUUCAAGAAAUUUGAUAAAUGUUAUUAUAAGCGGCACCGCAGUGCUGAUGUGGCACAAUUUUGAGAGCACUUCUAAAUUCACUAAAUACCCACAGGCGCACCAAAUGUAGAAUGGUCUUUUAAAAGCCUUCCUGGCGUAGGCGUGACUCAUCAUGACCCAUUGCUGGCGAAUAGUUAAAAAGGGAGUGCCCAACAAAAAGCAAAAGGAAAGGAAGGCUGCGAUAAAACACACACUCUUGCUUGUCUCAACUUUCCUCUCUCUCUCUCUCUCUGUCUGUCUCUGUGUCUAUGUAGGGAUUGCGGAGUAGCUAGCAGCCACACCACACAUUCACCCAAUCCAUCUCAACGCUAUGGAUUGAUCGUUUUCUCGGCGAAAUUCUCAAUUUCUGACCCAAUUGCUCGCUACCUGCAGAUUCUCUGCCAUGGAAGAUACUCAAUCAGUUUCUACACUGAUAGACACUACAACCUCUAAGAUACAACAGCUUCAGAAAGCAUUUGCUGAACUUGAAAGUCACCGAGCAAUAACUCUUAACUUGAAAUGGAAGGAGAUUGAAGAACAUUUCCAUGGGCUUGAGAAGUCCUUAAAGAGGCGUUUUCAUGAGUUGGAAGAUCAAGAAAAGGAGUUUGAAACCAAAACAUUGGCAGCUCGUGAAAUGUUGGAGAAGAAGGAAUUAGCGAGAGAGAGAGAGAGAGAGUUACAAUUGGAAAAUACAGGACACAAAACCCUAGAAAACAUGGCGGCGAACAAGACAGUUGAUGUGCCAUCAAAUGAAAAACAGACAACGACCAUGGCGGCGAACAAGACAGUUGGUGGGCCAUCAAAUGAAAAACAGACUGGGCAGCACGAGUAUCCUUUUCAGCUGUUCGAAGACUUGGGUGUUGGGCUCGCCGGCCACUCGGCCUUGUACUUCGCCGACGGCUUCGUCAAUAUCCCGGCCGCUACCGCUACUAGGGUCGUCGUUGGCGGCUUCCAGGCGUUCAAAAUGAACGCCGCCAGGUUGCCUGCGGAUGCGGGAAGAUUUGCCGCGUUUUGCGGCUUGACGACGGCGUUCGAUAGUUACAUUGCACGGGCUUGCGGAGUCAACGAUGAGUGGAACUUCGUCGGCGCCGCGGGAGCUGCCUCUGGGCUCGUACAGUGGCGUGGUGGUCUCCGAUCAUCACUGGGCUCAGCUCUCUCUGUUGCUGCUGUGGCCAUCCUGUUUCAGACUUUUGAGGUAAAAGAGUAAUUCUAUCUAAUUUCUAUCAGGCUUUUUUAUCAUAUAUAUGUAUAUAUAAUAUGUUUAUUUCCUUCUGGUUGCUAUAUAUAAUAUGUUUAUUUGGAAUUGUCUUUUCUAAAAAUUUAUGGAUUUCAAUAUAAUAUGUUUAUUUGGAGUUACUUUUUGUAAAAACUUAUGGAUUCUGAUUUUGUUGGAUCAACUUAUAUUAAUAUUUAAACUCUUGUAUUUAUCUUUUUUUUUUAAUCUUAUUUAAUAGUCUAUUAGCUAGGAUUAUUCCCUUUAUUUAAGUGAAAAUAAAGGUGAAAAUAAACAUUGUGGUCAUUUAUUUGAUCCAUUUUAAUAAAAAAAAAAAGCGAAAAUAAAAUUGAAAUUUAAACGAUUCAGAUAUGUGGCUUUACAUUGGGUCUGAGCUCAUUCCAAUUCAAGUUGUGAGGAAAAAUUGAUUGAUUUUCAAUUUUUAUUUAAUUUAAAUUUUUUUGUUAGUAUUAUUAUUUUUAAUUAAAAUUAAUGGUAUUUAAUUUCCCGACAGAUCUAUCUGGCUUUUUAUUUUUAUUUUUGGUAAAAUAAAAAUAAUGUCUUAAUUUUUUGAUAUUUUAAUUAUUAGAUUGUUAUUAUUAUUAUGUUUUUUUUACUUGUCCUUUGUUUUCUAGUUGUUGCACAUAUCCUCUUUAUGCUUAUCCUCUAGUUCUACUGCUAGGGAAGUCUCAGAGUCUCACACUGGGGUUUUAUUUAAUUAAUUAAUAAAUUUAUCAAAAAUAAAAAUAAAAAGCCAGGUAGAUCUACCGGAAAAUUUAAUACCAUUAAUUUUAAUUAAAAAUAAUAAUACUAACAAAAAAAUUUAAAUUAAAUAAAAAUCGAAAAUCAAUCAAUUUUUUCUCACAGCUUGGAUUGGAAUGAGUUCGGAUCCAGUGUAAAGCCACAGAUCUGAAUCGCUUAAAUUUCAAUUUUAUUUUCGUUUUUUUUUUUUAUUAAAAUGGAUCAAAUAAAGGACCACAAUGUUUAUUUUCGCCUUUAUUUUUACUUAAAUAAAGGAAAUAAUCCUAGCUAAUAGACUAUUAAAUAAGAUUAAAAAAAAAAAGAAGAUAAAUACAAGAGUUUAAAUAUUAAUAUAAAACCCACAAGGAACACAAUGUUUGAUCCAACAUAAAUUAAAAUUCAUAAGUUUUUACAAAAAGUAACUCCAAAUAAACAUAUUAUAUAUGAAAUCCAUAAGUUUUUAGAAAAGACAACUCCAAAUAAACAUAUUAUAUAUAGCAACGGGAAGGAAAUAAACAUAUUAUAUAUAUGAUAAAAAAGCCUGAUAGAAAUUAGGUAGAAUUACUCUUUUACCCCAAAAGUCUGAAACAGGGCGGCCACAGCAGCAACAGAGAGAGAGCUAAGCCCAGUGAUGAUCGGAGACCACCAUGCCACUGUACGAGCCCAGCGGCAGCUCCUGCGGCACCGACGAAGUUCCACUCAUCGUCGACACCGCGAGCCCGUGCAAUGUAGCUAUCGAAUGCCGUCGUCAAGCCGCAAAACGCGGCAAAUCUUCCCGCAUCCGUAGGCAACCUGGCGGCGUUCAUUUUGAACGCCUGGAAGCCGCCAACGACGACCCUAGUAGAGGUAGCGGCCGGGGUAUUGACGAAGCCGUCAGCGAAGUACAGGGCCGGCGAGCCCAACACCUAAGUCUUCGAACAGCUGAAACGGGUACUCUUGCUGCCCAGUCUGUUUUUCAUUUGAUGGCCCACCAACUGUCUUGUUUGCCGCCAUGGUCGUUGUCUGUUUUUCAUUUGAUGGCCCAUCAACCGUCUUGUUCGCCGCCAUGUUUUCUAGGGUUGUGUCUUGUAUUUUUCAAUUGUAGCUCUCUCUCUGUGGGAAUCAAAAAAGGAAUUGCCUCUGGUUUUCGUAGCACGUGUCCAUUUUCAAUUAUUAUUAGGGAAAAUUUUAUUGAUCCCUCUGGUUUAACAAAACCACAUUUACCUCUGUAAAAUUAUUUAAUUCAUCAUUAACAUCCCUAGAUAUUAACAUUGAUUAACAAAUUUUAUAUUUUAAUUUAUUUAAAUUACAAAACGUCUAUUUUACCUUUA